rnacentral:lncRNA from 1 species
CACUUUAAAAAAAAUUGACACAAUAAAAAUGAUGUUAAUCUAUUUAGCUCCACCACUGUUCUAUCAUUAAUCAUGUCAAAUAAAUUCGCACCUCCCCAAAAUUUAUUUUUUAUCUCACAAAAUACACAAAAAUAUUGGUAUUGGAGGUGGUAUUUUCUAUAGGUGACAUCAAAUAAAUUGGUAGCACCUAAAAAAUUAAUUUUUUAAAUCUAGC